AUAAUAUUAUAUUAUAGGUGUGAAAUCGGUUGUUAUAUACUGUCCAAUAUUAGUAAAACAUGAAGGAAAGUGCAAACAUUGUCUGGCUUUAAGUGUAAAGAUUAAACUUUGAUGAGAAUUUUAAAAGUGAUAUCUUUGAAAGCCGAUUUGGAGUCCUCGUCUAGUGAUGGAUAUAAAAACGUUCUCGGGAAAAGCCAAAAGAACAGUCAUAUUUUAAAUCUAUAAUAUAUUAUAGUUUCUACAUACCGUAUACGCAGACUGCUACAACAGGAACCGGCAGUGCAAAUAAUUUCGUCUGAGUCAAGUUUCCAUAAAAUGUCGCCGAGCAAUGUCCUAUCUACCACUGCAUCAUUGUAAUCAUGAACCAUAUGCAAUAAAAUACAAUUACAUAGUACUAACCGUAUAUACCGCCUACAGUAGCUGCCGACUGUCACCUGUAUGUUGAUCUAAUAAUAUGUAGCAACCCAUGUCGAAUUAAUACCGCUGGCGACUGAAUGUCAAAAGUCUAAAGACUAAAUAUUGUUUUGAUUUUCAUUCGUCGCCGUGGAAGACUCUGCAGCAGUAUACACACCAUUGUUAAUCGGUGUCAAUCCGCAUUGCCGGAAGCGGUUAUAUGUUAUGCAAAUAUGUUAUUAUAUUAUGUUUGUGGUUAGUACAUUCGACCGCAAACGGAAUAUUAUGUACUAACAAUAAUAAUGUAAUAAUAUAAUACGGGUAUCGUGUAUAUAUUCACACACUUUUAUUAUUUUUAUUAUUUUAUCCGAUUUAGUAGACUAGACACGCAACGUCGGGGUAUAAUAUAUUAUUAUGUAUGGAACUAUAGGUAAAGGAACCUACAUCAAGUGGUGGAGAAAAAAAUCUCUCGAAAUUACCCGAAACUACUUAUAGUUUAUUACAAAUUUACUUGCAGUACGAAGAUAUUAUAGUAACAUAUCACUAACAUCAUGUUACGUCACCGGUGUUUAGUAUAGGUACCUCAUUAGUCAUUAAUAAUCGUUUUCGA